UGCAGUCGAGCGGAUGACGGGAGCUUGCUCCUUGAUUCAGCGGCGGACGGGUGAGUAAUGCCUAGGAAUCUGCCUGGUAGUGGGGGACAACGUUUCGAAAGGAACGCUAAUACCGCAUACGUCCUACGGGAGAAAGCAGGGGACCUUCGGGCCUUGCGCUAUCAGAUGAGCCUAGGUCGGAUUAGCUAGUUGGUGGGGUAAUGGCUCACCAAGGCGACGAUCCGUAACUGGUCUGAGAGGAUGAUCAGUCACACUGGAACUGAGACACGGUCCAGACUCCUACGGGAGGCAGCAGUGGGGAAUAUUGGACAAUGGGCGAAAGCCUGAUCCAGCCAUGCCGCGUGUGUGAAGAAGGUCUUCGGAUUGUAAAGCACUUUAAGUUGGGAGGAAGGGCAGUAAGCUAAUACCUUGCUGUUUUGACGUUACCGACAGAAUAAGCACCGGCUAACUCUGUGCCAGCAGCCGCGGUAAUACAGAGGGUGCAAGCGUUAAUCGGAAUUACUGGGCGUAAAGCGCGCGUAGGUGGUUUGUUAAGUUGGAUGUGAAAGCCCCGGGCUCAACCUGGGAACUGCAUCCAAAACUGGCAAGCUAGAGUACGGUAGAGGGUGGUGGAAU
rnacentral:rRNA from 1 species